rnacentral:rRNA from 1 species
UGGGGAAUAUUGGACAAUGGGCGAAAGCCUGAUCCAGCCAUGCCGCGUGUGUGAAGAAGGUCUUCGGAUUGUAAAGCACUUUAAGUUGGGAGGAAGGGCAGUAAGCGAAUACCUUGCUGUUUUGACGUUACCGACAGAAUAAGCACCGGCUAACUCUGUGCCAGCAGCCGCGGUAAUACAGAGGGUGCAAGCGUUAAUCGGAAUUACUGGGCGUAAAGCGCGCGUAGGUGGUUCGUUAAGUUGAAUGUGAAAGCCCCGGGCUCAACCUGGGAACUGCAUCAAAAACUGGCGAGCUAGAGUAGGGCAGAGGGUGGUGGAAUUUCCUGUGUAGCGGUGAAAUGCGUAGAUAUAGGAAGGAACACCAGUGGCGAAGGCGACCACCUGGGCUCAUACUGACACUGAGGUGCGAAAGCGUGGGGGGCAAACAAG